AAGCGUGUAGGCUGGUUUUCCAGGCAAAUCCGGAAAACCAAGGCUGAGGCGUGAUGACGAGGCACUACGGUGCUGAAGCGACAAAUGCCCUGCUUCCAGGAAAAGCCUCUAAGCAUCAGGUAACAUCAAAUCGUACCCCAAACCGACACAGGUGGUCAGGUAGAGAAUACCAAGGCGCUUGAGAGAACUCGGGUGAAGGAACUAGGCAAAAUGGUGCCGUAACUUCGGGAGAAGGCACGCUGAUAUGUAGGUGAAGCGACUUGCUCGUGGAGCUGAAAUCAGUCGAAGAUACCAGCUGGCUGCAACUGUUUAUUAAAAACACAGCACUGUGCAAACACGAAAGUGGACGUAUACGGUGUGACGCCUGCCCGGUGCCGGAAGGUUAAUUGAUGGGGUUAGCGGUAACGCGAAGCUCUUGAUCGAAGCCCCGGUAAACGGCGGCCGUAACUAUAACGGUCCUAAGGUAGCGAAAUUCCUUGUCGGGUAAGUUCCGACCUGCACGAAUGGCGUAAUGAUGGCCAGGCUGUCUCCACCCGAGACUCAGUGAAAUUGAACUCGCUGUGAAGAUGCAGUGUACCCGCGGCAAGACGGAAAGACCCCGUGAACCUUUACUAUAGCUUGACACUGAACAUUGAGCCUUGAUGUGUAGGAUAGGUGGGAGGCUUUGAAGUGUGGACGCCAGUCUGCAUGGAGCCGACCUUGAAAUACCACCCUUUAAUGUUUGAUGUUCUAACGUUGGCCCGUAAUCCGGGUUGCGGACAGUGUCUGGUGGGUAGUUUGACUGGGGCGGUCUCCUCCUAAAGAGUAACGGAGGAGCACGAAGGUUGGCUAAUCCUGGUCGGACAUCAGGAGGUUAGUGCAAUGGCAUAAGCCAGCUUGACUGCGAGCGUGACGGCGCGAGCAGGUGCGAAAGCAGGUCAUAGUGAUCCGGUGGUUCUGAAUGGAAGGGCCAUCGCUCAACGGAUAAAAGGUACUCCGGGGAUAACAGGCUGAUACCGCCCAAGAGUUCAUAUCGACGGCGGUGUUUGGCACCUCGAUGUCGGCUCAUCACAUCCUGGGGCUGAAGUAGGUCCCAAGGGUAUGGCUGUUCGCCAUUUAAAGUGGUACGCGAGCUGGGUUUAGAACGUCGUGAGACAGUUCGGUCCCUAUCUGCCGUGGGCGCUGGAGAACUGAGGGGGGCUGCUCCUAGUACGAGAGGACCGGAGUGGACGCAUCACUGGUGUUCGGGUUGUCAUGCCAAUGGCACUGCCCGGUAGCUAAAUGCGGAAGAGAUAAGUGCUGAAAGCAUCUAAGCACGAAACUUGCCCCGAGAUGAGUUCUCCCUGAGACUUAGAGUCUCCUGAAGGAACGUUGAAGACGACGACGUUGAUAGGCCGGGUGUGUAAGCGCAGCGAUGCGUUGAGCUAACCGGUACUAAUGAACCGUGAGG
rnacentral:rRNA from 1 species